rnacentral:rRNA from 1 species
UACGUAGGGGGCAAGCGUUGUCCGGAUUUACUGGGCGUAAAGCGCGCGUAGGCGGAAGGUGAAGCGUGGCCUGAAAGCCCCCGGCUCAACCGGGGAGGGCGGCUGCGAACUGGCCUUCUUGAGGGCGAUAGAGGGGGGCGGAAUUCCUGGUGUAGCGGUGAAAUGCUUAGAUAUCGUCAAGAACACCGAUAGUGUAGACAGCUUACUAGACUUCAACUGACGCUGAGGCACGAAAGUGUGGGGAUCAAACAGG